GACGAACGCUGGCGGCGUGCUUAACACAUGCAAGUCGAACGGAAAGGCCUAGCUUGCUGGGUACUCGAGUGGCGAACGGGUGAGUAACACGUGGGUGAUCUGCCCCUGACUUUGGGAUAAGCCUGGGAAACUGGGUCUAAUACCGGAUAUUCAUUUUUCCUCGCAUGGGGAUUUGUGGAAAGCUUUUGCGGUUGGGGAUGGGCCCGCGGCCUAUCAGCUUGUUGGUGGGGUAAAGGCCUACCAAGGCGACGACGGGUAGCCGACCUGAGAGGGUGAUCGGCCACACUGGGACUGAGACACGGCCCAGACUCCUACGGGAGGCAGCAGUGGGGAAUAUUGCACAAUGGGCGCAAGCCUGAUGCAGCGACGCCGCGUGAGGGAUGACGGCCUUCGGGUUGUAAACCUCUUUCAGCUCCGACGAAGCGCAAGUGACGGUAGGAGCAGAAGAAGCACCGGCCAACUACGUG
rnacentral:rRNA from 1 species